rnacentral:rRNA from 1 species
GAAGUUGGAGUUGCUAGUAAUCGCGGAUCAGCAUGCCGCGGUGAAUACGUUCCCGGGCCUUGUACACACCGCCCGUCACACCAUGAGAGUUGGGAAUACCCGAAGCCUGUGAGCCAACUUUUAAAGAGGCAGCAGUCGAAGGUAGAAUCAAUGAUUGGGGUGAAGUCGUAACAAGGUAUC